GACGAACGCUGGCGGCGUGCCUAAUACAUGCAAGUCGAGCGACGAAAGGAGAAGGGGUAACCCUUCUCCCUGAAAGCGGCGAACGGGUGAGUGACACGUGGGUAACGUGCCCCCGACUCUGGGAUAACAACGGGAAACCGUUGCUAAUACCGGAUGACCCUGUAACACCGCAUGGUGUAGCAGGCAAAGUUUUUCGGUCGGGGAUCGGCCCGCGGUGUAUCAGCUUGUUGGUGGGGUAACGGCCUACCAAGGCUUCGACGCAUAGCUGGCGUGAGAGCGCGACCAGCCACACUGGGACUGCGACACGGCCCAGACUCCUACGGGAGGCAGCAGUAGGGAAUCUUGCGCAAUGGGCGAAAGCCUGACGCAGCGACGCCGCGUGAGGGAUGAAGGCCUUCGGGUUGUAAACCUCUUUCAGCAGGGACGAAGCGAAAGUGACGGUACCUACAGAAGAAGCACCGGCUAACUACGUGCCAGCCGCCGCCGUAACAC
rnacentral:rRNA from 1 species